CCUCACAUUCCUAGACACCCACCUGCUGCUUUGUCCUGAGUGUUGGCAAGAAAGGCUGCACCACUACAUUCCCAGGUUUUCAAAAACACAACUGUGAGAUGGGGAGGAGAUUAAGAUGGCUUUGGUGUGUGUGUAUGUGUGCACGCAUGCACACCAGUAUAUGUGCCACAACUCCUGAGUGAAUGUCAAAGGUCAAUUUUUAAGAGCUGGUUUUCUCCACCGCUCUCAGGCCUGUAAACAAGCUCUUUUCCCCUGCAUCACAGGCCCCUUUGUAGCACAAAAGCUCCUAAAUUGUGAUCAGAAGCUCCACAGGUGGUAGAUCUGGCUUUAGUAUACCAUGAAAUAUCUUCCUAAUUUCUUUUUUUAGCCAAAAGACCAAGAAAUGGUGAAAUAGUUUUUCAAAACCAUCUAAGUAGGAUAGAAGAGCCAUGAUUUUAAAGUUCUAAACUUAUGAGUGUAGAGUUAUUUCUAGUUUUUUUUUAAUCAGUUGAUUACAAUGUCUUCUUUUAUCAUCAGAGACAUUUACUAGAAGUCUUCUGAGAGUUUGAUGUAGAGUAUUUACACAUUGUCUAAAUCAGCAGGUAACUAAAAGUUUAAUGGCAUUUGUUGUGUUUUCUAAUUUCUAAAGGGCUCUCACUGUUUAGAAAUUUGAAUUACAUAAUAACCCAAAGCUCAACAGUCAUAACAAAAUAAAUGUUUUAUUUAUUUUAAAGGCCUUCACUUACUGUGAAGGGUGACUAUGUUUUAAUGUCCUAGUAACACAGCAUGCACACCUUGGUAGAGGAUGACUGUUUAUAUUCCCUUUUUUUUUUUUUUAGAUAUUUUCUUUAUUUACAUUUCAAAUGUUGUCCCCUUUCCUAAUUUCCCCUCCAAAAAUCCCCUAUCCCUUCCCUUGUACCUGUUUUAAUACUGAAGUUUUGUUUAAUUCUAGAUGCACACAAUAAUAGAUAUGUCUCAGUCACCCUGUUUUCCAAAGGUCCUUAGGGUUGUCUUCCAGGCUGUGGGAUAUUUGCCUGAGGAAGUUUCUCUAUUAGAAGAGAUAUAUACCUCGAUGACUGGGCAUCAUUCUGCUUCUGCAUCUGGGCUCCAGCCUUGUCAUCACCCUGCAAUCGUUUUGUUACUUACCAUUUGUCUUCCUCUCUCCCAAAAGCCCUUAAUUCUGUCUGUAAGGUACUUACAAAGAAGCUUCUCCUUUUUUGUCUUUUGCUGACCAGAUGAGCUGUUUCUGGCUGUGUGAUUUGCUGUGAGGAAGGGAUCUCACUCCUGUUGGUGCAUAAAUAUUUCCAGAAGUGUUAGUGUGCAUUUACAUUUGGCAUGUUAAGAACUGUACUACUCUC
rnacentral:lncRNA from 1 species